UAGUGAAUAUAGGACGUCCAACUUAACUUGGAGUCCGAACUCUCACUUUCUAACCCUGUGCACUUGUUUGGGAUAGUAACUCUCGCAAGAGAGCGAACUCCUAUUCACUUAUAAACACAAAGUCUAUGAAUGUAUUAAAUUUUAUAACAAAAUAAAACUUUCAACAACGGAUCUCUUGGCUCUCGCAUCGAUGAAGAACGCAGCGAAAUGCGAUAAGUAAUGUGAAUUGCAGAAUUCAGUGAAUCAUCGAAUCUUUGAACGCACCUUGCGCUCCAUGGUAUUCCGUGGAGCAUGCCUGUUUGAGUGUCAUGAAUACUUCAACCCUCCUCUUUCUUAAUGAUUGAAGAGGUGUUUGGUUUCUGAGCGCUGCUGGCCUUUACGGUCUAGCUCGUUCGUAAUGCAUUAGCAUCCGCAAUCGAACUUCGGAUUGACUUGGCGUAAUAGACUAUUCGCUGAGGAAUUCUAGUCUUCGGAUUAGAGCCGGGUUGGGUUAAAGGAAGCUUCUAAUCAGAAUGUCUACAUUUUAAGAUUAGAUCUCAAAUCAGGUAGGACUACCCGCUGAACUUAAGCAUAUCAAUAAGCGGAGGAAAAGAAACUAACAAGGAUUCCCCUAGUAGCGGCGAGCGAAGCGGGAAGAGCUCAAAUUUAUAAUCUGGCACCUUCGGUGUCCGAGUUGUAAUCUCUAGAAAUGUUUUCCGCGUUGGACCGCACACAAGUCUGUUGGAAUACAGCGGCAUAGUGGUGAGACCCCCGUAUAUGGUGCGGACGCCCAGCGCUUUGUGAUACAUUUUCGAAGAGUCGAGUUGUUUGGGAAUGCAGCUCAAAUUGGGUGGUAAAUUCCAUCUAAAGCUAAAUAUUGGCGAGAGACCGAUAGCGAACAAGUACCGUGAGGGAAAGAUGAAAAGCACUUUGGAAAGAGAGUUAACAGUACGUGAAAUUGUUGGAAGGGAAACGCUUGAAGUCAGACUUGCUUGCCGAGCAAUCGGUUUGCAGGCCAGCAUCAGUUUUCCGGGAUGGAUAAUGGUAGAGAGAAGGUAGCAGUUUCGGCUGUGUUAUAGCUCUCUGCUGGAUACAUCUUGGGGGACUGAGGAACGCAGUGUGCCUUUGGCGGGGGUUUCGACCUCUUCACAC
rnacentral:rRNA from 1 species